AUCRCUCCUGGGGACCCUUGGGGAGAAAGCAGCCUGGGGAAGGCUGUGGGGCAGAUGGACUGUCAGCUGAGGGUUGUCCCAUAAACAGGAUCUUCAUUCCCCGUGUUUUGGCCUUGCUCAAGUUGAAAUUCAUCUUUCCUGCAAGCAGUGGUCCUAUCUGCUCGCCUGUCGCCACGCGAGUGCCUCCACAGUGCUUCUCGCUCCGUCCUUGGGCACCCUGCACUGAGCUCCCACCGCCGCAUCAGCGAAGGAGCAUUGCAACCCCCCUGCGAGCCACCGCCAGCCCCCG
rnacentral:lncRNA from 1 species